rnacentral:lncRNA from 1 species
GCAGCUGGACUCAGUUUAGAUGAUCCCAAUUUUGUUGGCAACAUCCAAAGCAUCGUAACCAGGAGCCAGUCGAACAUAUGCCUUCUUCUCUCCAUCAGGUGGGUGACGUGCGGAUCUUCUUCUUUUUGUGGCUGUGGACACCUUUCAACACUGCCUUCUUGGCCUUUAAAGCCUUCGCUUUGGCUUCGGCUUUAGGAGGGGCAGGAGCUUCCUUCUUCGCUUUCGGCGCCAUCUUGUGAAAAGGGUCUUUUUUUUUUUUUUUUUUUUUACACAGGGUCUCACUCUGUUACCCAGGCUGGAGUGCAGUGGCAUGAUCUCGGCUCACUGCAGCCUCCACCUUGUGUUCAAGCGAUCCUCCCACCUCAGCCUCCUGAGUAGCUGGGAUUACAGGCGUGCGCCACCAUGCCUGGCUAAUUUUUGUAUUUUUAGUAGAGACGGGAUUUUGCCAUGUUGGCCAGGCUGGUCUCAAACUCCUAACCUCAAGUGAUCCACCCGCCUUAGCCUCCCAAAGUGCUGAGAUUACAGGCAUGAACCACCACACCUGGCCUGAAAGUUUUCCUUUCUUGCAGGUGGACAUUGAAUAGUAGGCCUAAUUUGGAUUUUGUUUUAAAAGUCCCAAAACAAAAGCAGCUUAAAACCUAAUUAAAAUGAAUUUAAAAAUCUGUGCACUCAACUACUGGUCUCUGGCACCAUUUUCUGUUUUUUGUCCUUGUGGCGCAGGUUCUUCUUUGUUUCUUCUUUUGCUCUUUUCAUUGGCUCAGUUGCACCAUUCUCCAUCACAUUCAUCAUCACUAUCAAAUUUAGUUUACCUGCCCUGAAACUGUACCUUCCCUAUCGCAAACCCAGGCUGGGUAGCUUUAUUACUCUUCCCUUUUCCUGUAAAUCUGCAAUCUUUGACUUCCAUUUAUUUGGGGAUUCUUGUUGGUCUUGCAUGAUUUUUUUCAAUGCUUCUUUUUCAUCUCUCCUUCUACUAUUUCCCAAGUCACUUCUUUGGUUUUUUGUUUUUUAAUUGUGGGUUACCAUUAUUUGUGUCUUUGGCUUUACCUAAUGCUUCUUUGGCUUUUUCUUUAAAUAGAAUUAUCCUCUCUUUUGCUCCUCUGACAAAGUCUAUCCAUUUUAUUUCACCACUUGCAUUUAUUUAUAUUAAAAAAUUUCUCUCAAUCCAGGUAGGAAGAACAUUCUAUGUUUACUACCUUGGGAAGGAAUGACAUACCUGUUCACAUGGAAAAAAGAAUUUACAACCUUGAUAAAAAGAAAAUAUGAUAAGAGCAAAGUUUCCAUGCUUCUAACCACUCAAAUAUUAGGAAUGAUACCCUGAGAUUGGAGCGAGACUGGCAGAGACAGAAAGGGGAAAAAAGAGGGUCACAAAGAGGAGUGGGAAACGACAGAAUCCCAGAAGAAGUUUUAGGGACCAAUGGCGGUGAAAACUUAUGUCUUCAAUCUUGGGCAGAGUUAAGGGAAGUGGCAAGAGAUCCCACAUGGUACAAGAGUAGAAAUGGUGUGCACAUAGUGUGUCUGUACAGCCAGGUCUGUGACAACCUUACCAUGUUCUCCAUAGCUUAGAGGAGAAGAAUGUUUCAUACAUGUACAAGAAUAAUAUGGACAUAGUCCAGACAACUGACAGGAGCUGGAUGAGAAACAAGAAUGGAUGCUGCAGAGACCUAUAUGAACCAAUGGCCAAUGAUCUGGUGGGGAAAUGGGACAUGUCAGUGGUGACAAUUAGGACAAAAUGUCCCCAAAUCCCUUACCUCAUACUUUUAUACCCUGAACACCCUAGAGAAUUUAGAUGUAACUUUGGAGGUGGUAUAAUUGAUUGAGAUUAAUUUUUCCACCUUUCUUCGAAUGGAGGUACUAAAAAAAACUUAAUAGAGUUUAUUUAAAGAAAAAUAAAGUUACAUAUCUUGCA